GGAGGGGAUAGCUCAGUGGUAGAGUGCAUGCUUAGCAUGCAUGAGGUCCUGGGUUCAAUCCCCAGUACCUCCA
rnacentral:tRNA from 1 species